rnacentral:rRNA from 1 species
GGACCCGCACAAGUAGUGGAGCAUGUGGUUUAAUUCGAAGAUACGCGCAGAACCUUACCAACACUUGACAUGUUCGUCGCGACUCUAAGAGAUUAGAGUUUUCGGUUCGGCCGGACGAAACACAGGUGCUGCAUGGCUGUCGUCAGCUCGUGUCGUGAGAUGUUGGGUUAAGUCCCGCAACGAGCGCAACCCUCACUUUUAGUUGCCAUCAUUAAGUUGGGCACUCUGAAAGAACUGCCAGUGAUAAGCUGGAGGAAGGUGGGGAUGACGUCAAGUCCUCAUGGCCCUUACGUGUUGGGCUACACACGUGCUACAAUGGUAUCUACAACAGGAAGCAAGACUGCGAAGUUAAGCAAAUCCCAUAAACCGUGGCUCAGUUCAGAUCGUAGGCUGCAACUCGCCUACAUAAAGAUGGAAUC